rnacentral:tRNA from 1 species
GGGGUAGUGGAGUCUGGUACCACGUUGGGCUCAUAACCCAAAGGUCGCAGGUUCAAAUCCUGCCCCC